UCACUGUGAUGAUAUGGUAUCCUCCAUUCGCAGUUUCCACCAGAAGGGUUUUCCUUGGUGAUGGCAAACCUUCCUUGGAUGUCUGAGUGA